GACGAACGCUGGCGGCGUGCUUAACACAUGCAAGUCGAACGGAAAGGCCCUGCUUUUGUGGGGUGCUCGAGUGGCGAACGGGUGAGUAACACGUGAGUAACCUGCCCUUGACUUUGGGAUAACUUCAGGAAACUGGGGCUAAUACCGGAUAGGAGCUCCUGCUGCAUGGUGGGGGUUGGAAAGUUUCGGCGGUUGGGGAUGGACUCGCGGCUUAUCAGCUUGUUGGUGGGGUAGUGGCUUACCAAGGCUUUGACGGGUAGCCGGCCUGAGAGGGUGACCGGCCGAGGGGGGUGGGGCAUGCGUCGCGGACUCGGGCGGGGGGGAGUGAGGGGGCAUCGUGAGGCGGGGGCGGAGGCGGGAUGGAGCACCGCGGGUGGGGGGAUGAGGGCCUUCGUGUUGCCACCCGCUUGCGCUGGGGGGGAGGGGGGGGUGGGGAUAAGGGGUACAGAGGCACCGGCUAAGUAGGUGACAGAGGCGGCGUUAAAAAGCGGAAAGCCACCGUAGGACC
rnacentral:rRNA from 1 species